GCGUAGGGAGGUGGUUGGGGGCUCGUUGGAAAGUGGGUUCCAGGGGUUAGGUAUAGGGUUAGGUGUAUGUCGUAUCCCAUAGAUUCCCCCACGUCGAUCAGGACACAUCAUCAGUCGUGGACCCCGGGAUCAUCGAGUGUUUCGGCCAUUAUCACGAGACACUGUCACCUGAGGGAGGCCCCCCCGAGGUCGAUCAACUCUCGGGUCAUGUCCCAUAACCCAUGAAGAACCUUUUCCUUAUAUAUAAGGUUUCCAUGGCUGGUUUAUACGCAUAGCUGCAGCACCCCCAUCUAGUGGCCACUUGACGCCACUGUACCUCAUUCUUCCGUCACACCUGUCUUCCAUCAUCAAUCUCCACUUCCUACUUCAGCCGGGGAUCUCCAUCCAGCCGGUGCCAGUUCGUCGUUUACAACUGCCCAUUCUCCGUCCGUCACUCUGCCUACCUGUCGCCGAACCCCUGCCUGCCUGACUACCCGCCUGUUGCCGAAUCCUUGCCUGCCUGACUGUCUGCCUGUCGCCGAACCCCUACCUGCCUGAUUAUCUGCCUGACUACCGCUUGCUUCGCCCAAGCUUGUCACCUACCCCGUGUCCCAAUAAACCCUGUUUCCUUUUACCCCGUCUCUGCCUCC
ensembl:lncRNA